CAGGACGAACGCUGGCGGCGUGCCUAAUACAUGCAAGUCGAACGGUCUUUCUAUGGAAGCUUGCUUCCACUGAGAAGAUAGUGGCGAACGGGUGAGUAACACGUGGGUAACCUGCCCAUAAGAGGGGGGAUAACAUCCGGAAACGGGUGCUAAUACCGCAUAGUUUUCUUGAUCGCAUGAUUGAGAAAGGAAAGACGGCCUUUGUGCUGUCGCUUAUGGAUGGACCCGCGGCGUAUUAGUUAGUUGGUGAGGUAAUGGCUCACCAAGACGAUGAUACGUAGCCGACCUGAGAGGGUGAUCGGCCACAUUGGGACUGAGACACGGCCCAAACUCCUACGGGAGGCAGCAGUAGGGAAUCUUCCGCAAUGGACGAAAGUCUGACGGAGCAACGCCGCGUGAGUGAAAGAAGGUUUUCGGAUCGUAAAACUCUGUUGUCAGAGAAGAACAAGUUGGAGAGUAACUGCUCCAGCCUUGACGGUAUCUGACCAGAAAGCCACGGCUAACUACGUGCCAGCCGCCGC
rnacentral:rRNA from 1 species